ACGACCUGGAAAGAAACAAAAGAAGCUAGAAACAACUCACUUCCCUUGAGAUUGGUGGGGAGAGAGGGAAGGGGGCUGUUCUGUGCAUGUUGUUUCCCUUUUGCAAACUUCUCAGCCAAGCGGAGGAGGCAGCACAGAGAAGCACUCUCUCCUGCUCUCCUCCCCGCCCUCUCCCUCCCUGCUGGGCCUUCUCAGCUGCAGCGGCCUUGUAGCUACUGCUGGGGAAAACAGAAAACCACAGCUAUGCGGCACCAAACAGGCCUGCAUCACGUUUACGCAAUGACAGAGGUCUGGGCCCGUCUCCAAAGAGGCUGGGGCUCCCUGCGGCAACUCAGACAGCCUUUCCACGUCCAAGGCCGUGCUUUGGAGGCCAGGAGGGCUGAAAGGCCUUUGGCGGUCAUUGCCUCCAAGUCUCUCAUUUCAUCAGGAGGCCCGGAGACGGGGAGUCAGUUGGCCAGCGUGGAGCAGAGUGCUGAGUUGCUGGCUUUUAACCUGAGGUCACUGUCACUGGACAACAAAGGAGGAAAGGCAGGGGAGAGAAGGCUUCUGAGCUGGGCUGCCGGAGCUCUAUUUCCUCAGCCUGACACCUUGGAAGGUACAAAGGGGUGAGAGCUGGGACCCCCCGCCCGGAGGCCAAGCCGGAGAGGACCUGGGUUCUGCAGGGAGUCGCUCUGGGGACUUUCCUUCUCUCCCGCAGCUCCGUGAAUGGUUCUGGCCUCUCUCUCCCGGUCCCAUUUUCAACUGACCAUCUUACCUCCCUCUUCUACGCAAAAUCGAGACCAGCUUUUCUUCUUUCUGUCUUCAAACAGUUCGUCGUGGGUACCCACCCUCUGCUUCCUCUUCUCUCUCGUGCUGGCAAAGGAGCAGGGACCCGGUUCACCCUUUCCUUCCCUCCAUGUAGCCACCUGCCCCACACUGGCUCCAGCAAUCUGCAUCUCUUUGUCCCACAGCCCCAAGCCUUCCCCCGCCUGGGGUCCCUGCCCUCUGCCUGCAGCCCAGCGCCAGCUCUGUUCCCGAGGCUCCGCCUCAACUCUCUCCCCUCUCCAAGAAGUGUGCCUCAGGUCGCACUUCGAGCCUCUGCAAAUCCGGCCACUUGCUUCCACUCCGCUCAGCUGGCUUUGAGGUCACCCAGGAGUUGCUGAACCUGAGUCCCGUCCCAUUUGAUCCCUAUGUGAUCCCUGUCCUGUAUCUGACGCCGUGGCCCCCACACCACCCCUGCAUUGUCACUUAGUCACGCUCCCUUUUCUUGGAUCGACUGUCUGUUGGGAAGCCCCUUUCUAGAACGUCUCCCAGGCUUGUAACUAGAACCAGCCCCUCCUCCAUCAAGCUCCUCAUCUUCUCCACUAAUCUCCCCCGUUCUUGGUUGAAAGCUCCAUUUGGUUGCCAAAGCUGGAAAUCUGGGCUUCAUUCUUGCGGCGGGCUGAACAAUGCCUCGCCCCUGCUCCGAGAGAUUGACAGCCUCAUGCCUGUGCGGAUGUGAUUAUGUUGAGGAUUUUGAGAAGAGGAGGUGAUCCGGGAGAGCCUGAUGCAAUCACGAGGGUCCUCGUAAGACGGAGGCAGGAGGGUCAGAGUGAGUAGCAGGACACGUGACAACGGAAGCCAGGGGUUGCAUGUUGCAACCACGGGCCAAGGGGUGCCCACAGCUACCAGAAGCUGGAAGAGGAAAGGAAUGGUUUUGCCUCUGGAGCCCCCAGAAGGAAUAGCCCUGCCGAUGCCUUGGUGUUAGUCCUUUCAGACUCAUUUUGGACUGCUGGCCUCCGAAACCGUGAAUUUGAAUUAGUUGAUGUGUUUUAAGCUGGUAAGUUUGUGGCAAUCUGUUAUAGCAGCCACAGAAAACUGAUAGAAUCCUGACGAUGCUCACUGAUGACAUGUAUUUCCCCGAAUCUUAUCAAGCCUCUCUCCAAAACAUCUUUCAGGUUUGUGUCUUCCUUUCUGUCAUCAAUUCCAUCCCAUCAUCCUUCCUCCCAAGAGCUUUAGCAAUGACCUUUUAACUGGUCACCUUAUCUUGCUAAGCCAUCCCUUCCGUUGCUGUAAGAGGUAGGCUCUGACCUGUGUUCUGUAGAGAUGGUCGCCUCUCCCACAGCCUUGACCUACAGGCUAGAGAAGGAGGCUGCUGCAUUCAGACUGUGGGGAGCCACGGACUGUGCCCCGUGGUCAGUCUCUUUCCUCUCUCCUGCCUGUAUCCCUACCUCACGCCCCACCUUUCAGUCGCACAGGGCAACAGGUGCAGGCACUGUGCUCAUGCAGUUUCCUCACCUGAAAUGCUCCUCCAUGACUUCUGCCAACUCCUCAAGAGACUGAGCCUUCUUUGGGUCUCAGCUUUCUCAUCUGUACCAUUAAAGGGCUUGUCCAGAUGAGCUCCAAAGCUCUAUGGGACUCUUUGGCCUGAAUAAUUGAACUAAGUAGAUUUUAUUGACCAUCGGUGCUCACAAGGUACCGUAAGGGCCUUUUAACUCACCCUGUCUUGGGGAUGGAUGGUGUCUAAUGGGCUGUGUUUCCCAAUGAUGCCCUCUCAGAGUUAGCGGGGUGUGUAUACAUGGGCUGCAUAUGUUGGCAUGUGCUUGCGUGUUUUAGGGGGAACAACAGAAUUUUAAACAGUUUAUUAAAGAGCCGCGAAAGGCGCCUUGGCUAGGAAAUUUCUCCAGGAAAAAAAAAAAUCUCUAUUUUGACGAUUUAAGUGUUAAUGAUUCAAAACCAUAUGGAUCACAUUUCCCUCCCAUCCGUAUGUUUUUUUAAAAGUAUCAGAGAGACUGCUUAGGGCAAAAUGCAUUUAUGAUUCUAUCGAUCCUGCAGCAUUGCGAGGGCUGUUCAACAGAUCUGAGUGAGAGGAGAUUCUGGCGGGCCUGGAUGUGGGCCUUUCCCUGGGCUCUCUCCACAGAGUCUCUAAGGAAAAUCGCUCUUGGCGUCUAGGGAGAGUUUUCAGCACACAGCCUGGUGGGGAAGGAACGCUGCAUCCCGGUGGGGUUUUUGCAAAACCUCCAGAACUAAUUUUAAAAUGACUUAGGUUUUGGCAGACUGAAGAGGUGUUAACUCAAACCCGGGUGUAUUUCAAGGGAAAUGUAAUUAGAAAAAUGCUCUCCUAGUUAGCUGGGAGACUGUGCCGAGCAAUAAAGAUUCUUGUUGGAGAAUUCUUUGGUGAGAUAGAAACGUGCUGCAUCAAGGUCAAUGUGCAGACACGCACACGGGCUUCCCUUUCCCUUGCCUGGCCUGAGUGUGGGGGGGGGGCAUCAAACUCAAGGCAAAAUGAACACCUGCAGAGACCACAGAGGAGGCCACUUCUGCCGGUCCUGCCCUUAAGGACCAGACCACAGGUGAGCCAAUUCCUGCUGGUCUCCUCCAUGAACCAGAGGGGGGUGGAGUGGAGGGAUCUGGCUGAUGGUGAUGGCAGGCUUUGAUCCAUAUGGAUUCCUGGGCUCACCCCCUUUCCGGUCCAACCACAUAGUUCUGACAAUUGUCCAGAUUUAGACACCUCUGGCCUAUGGAUGAAGUCCCACCUCCCAGCAAGACAAUACAGAUCCUUCACAGCAGGAUCCACUUCCCCUGGCUGGCUUUAUCUUUCUUCCUUUUCCACCAUGUUUCCUUUGUGAGUGGCUUGUUCAGACUCUCCAUGGCCCCAUCCUUCCUCACCUGGCUCAGGUAUCCCUCUACUUGGGACAUCAGGCUCUCUUUCUUCUUUAGGAGAACAGUACAUCCCUCAAGGACACAGCAGUUCUCCUUCCCCUGUGGAGGAGACCCAGUGAGAACUUGACUCUGCUUUUGCUUUGGUCUUUCAGCAUAGUGGAUACACAUCUGUGACCACAUUGUCUGCAGCACUGCAUUCUGUCUCCUUAUCUGGCUCAAAUCUUGGCCCCAGCUUUGGGCUCCUGAGGGGAAGUGACUUGUCACAAUCUUGAAUGCACCAGACACUAGCGUGAGGCUUGAGGUGUAGUCAAGGACUCAAUAACUGUAGAACGAAUAGGGUAAACUUUGAGAAUUUUAAGCACGCUUUCUGCCAUCUAUUCAUCCAACCUGUCUGUUCCUCAAUCCACCCACCCAUUUACCUAUCCAACUACCCACUACCCAUCCAUCUAUCCAUCUUUCCAUCCACCUAUCACUCAUGUAUCCAUCUGUGCCUCUGUCCAUCACCCAUCACCCAUCACCCAUCCAUCAUCCAUCCGUCCAUCCAUCCAUCCAUCCAUCCAACCAACCAGCAUUAAUUCAAAAGGCUGGGUGCUUUUUUCUCUAAUCACACUACAUUUAAUAUAAAAUGAUCUUGGAAUUUUUCAAACCCUUAGGCUCUACUAGAAUAUUAUAACAAACAACCAUGGACCACCCACCCAACUUUAUCUUAUCUUAAUAUUAUGCCAUGUGGGCUUCAGACUUUUCUCUGUAAGCACCAAAACACUGUAGAUGUGGUUGAAGUCCCAUAUGUGGACCUCCACAAUUCUAUCCCUUUUCUUCUCUUCCCAGUGAUGAUGGUUUUGGUUUUGUUUCUCACGAAUGUUUUUAUAUAUAUAUAUAUUUUUACCACAUAUUUAUGUGUUCAUAAACAAUAUAUAGGUUGGUUUCUCAAGUUUUAAAGUUCUACAUAAAUGAUGUCCCAUGGUGGGUGUCAUUUUAUAACUUGACUUGUUUUUGCUGAUCCUUAUGAUGUCAUCACCCUUUUUAUGUCUCUCUCCAUUAAAGUAACUGGCUUGUCAUA